rnacentral:rRNA from 1 species
CCUACGGGUGGCAGCAGUGAGGAAUAUUGGUCAAUGGGCGCGAGCCUGAACCAGCCAAGUAGCGUGAAGGAUGACUGCCCUACGGGUUGUAAACUUCUUUUAUAAAGGAAUAAAGUGAGGCACGUGUGCCUUUUUGUAUGUACUUUAUGAAUAAGGAUCGGCUAACUCCGCGCCAGCAGCCGCGGUAAUACGGAGGAUCCGAGCGUUAUCCGGAUUUAUUGGGUUUAAAGGGAGCGUAGGUGGGUUGUUAAGUCAGUUGUGAAAGUUUGCGGCUCAACCGUAAAAUUGCAAUUGAUACUGGCAGUCUUGAGUACAGUUGAGGUAAGCGGAAUUCGUGGUGUAGCGGUGAAAUGCUUAGAUAUCACGAAGAACUCCGAUUGCGAAGGCAGCUUACUAAACUGCCACUGACAUUGAUGCUCGAAAGUGUGGGGAGCAAACAGGAUUAGAUUCCCCUGUAGUC